rnacentral:rRNA from 4 species
AAAUUGAAGAGUUUGAUCAUGGCUCAGAUUGAACGCUGGCGGCAGGCCUAACACAUGCAAGUCGAACGGUAACAGGAAGAAGCUUGCUUCUU